rnacentral:rRNA from 1 species
UACGUAGGGUGCAAGCGUUGUCCGGAAUUAUUUGGGCGUAAAGAGCUCGUAGGCGGUCUGUCGCGUCUGCUGUGAAAACUCGGGGCUUAACCCCGGGCCUGCAGUGGGUACGGGCAGACUAGAGUGCGGUAGGGGAGACUGGAAUUCCUGGUGUAGCGGUGAAAUGCGCAGAUAUCAGGAGGAACACCGGUGGCGAAGGCGGGUCUCUGGGCCGUAACUGACGCUGAGGAGCGAAAGCAUGGGGAGCGAACAGG